rnacentral:lncRNA from 1 species
UAAUAUUUUGUAAACGUGUGUCAAGGACUUACCUGGUUUUACAGGUUGUGUGAAAGUGGUGACUGGCACUGUUGCCUCGUCACUUCCUCCACUGCUGAGGCAGGAGUCAUAUGUUUGAGGUCGAGGAAUAAUACGUUUGGCUGUGUCUGGAGCGGUGACAGGUAACACCCGUCAUCAUGGGAAGAAAACUCUUUUGUUGGAUAUUACUGCUUGGACAUGCUGUCUCUGCACAAGCUCAAAGCACCACUACUGCAGCUCCAACUACAACAACUACUGCAGCUCCAACCACCACAACUACUGCAGCUCCUACCACAACUACUGCAGCUCCAACCACCACAACUACUGCAGCUACAACUACAACCACUGCACCCUCAACCACCACAACUACUGCAGCUCCAACCACAACAACUACUGUAGCUCCAACAACAACAGCUACUGCUGCUCCAACCACAACAACUACUGCAGCUCCUACCACCACAACUACUGCAGCUCCAACCACCACAACUACUGCAGCUCAAACCACCACAACUACUGCAGCUCUAACCACAACAACUACUGCAGCUCCAACCACAACAACCACUGCAGCUCCAACCACCACAACCACUGCAGCUCCAACCACCACAACUACUGCAGCUCCAACCACAACAACUACUGCAGCUCCAACCACCACAACUACUGCAGCUCUAACCACAACAACUACUGCAGCUCCAACCACCACAAUUACUGCAGCCCCAACCACAACAACUACUGCAGCUCCAACCACAACAAUUACUGCAGCUCCAACCACCACAACUACUGCAGCGCCAACCACCACGAUUACUGCAGCUCAAACCACAACAACUACUGCUGCUCCAACCACAACAACUACUGCAGCGCCAACCACCACAAUUACUGCAGCUCAAACCACAACAACUGCUGCAGCGCCAACCACAACAACUACUGCAGCGCCAACCACCACAACUACUGCGGCUCCAACCACCACAACUACUGUGGCUCCAACCACAACAACUACUGCAGCUCCUACCACAACAACUACUGCAGCUCCUUCCACAACAACUACUGCAGCUCCUACCACCACAAAUACUGCAGCUCCAACCACCACAACUACUGCAGCUCAAACCACCACAACUACUGCAGCUCUAACCACAACAACUACUGCAGCUCCAACCACAACAACCACUGCAGCUCCAACCACCACAACCACUGCAGCUCCAACCACCACAACUACUGCAGCUCUAACCACAACAACUACUGCAGCUCCAACCACCACAACUACUGCAGCUCUAACCACAACAACUACUGCAGCUCCAACCACCACAAUUACUGCAGCCCCAACCACAACAACUACUGCAGCUCCAACCACAACAAUUACUGCAGCUCCAACCACCACAACUACUGCAGCGCCAACCACCACGAUUACUGCAGCUCAAACCACAACAACUACUGCUGCUCCAACCACCACAACUACUGCAGCGCCAACCACCACAAUUACUGCAGCUCAAACCACAACAACUGCUGCAGCGCCAACCACAACAACUACUGCAGCGCCAACCACCACAACUACUGCGGCUCCAACCACCACAACUACUGUGGCUCCAACCACAACAACUACUGCAGCUCCUACCACAACAACUACUGCAGCUCCUUCCACAACUACUGCAGCUCCAACAACCACAACUACUGCAGCUCCAACCACCACAACUACUGCAGCUCCAACCACAACAACUACUGCAGCUACAACCACCACAACUACUGCAGCUACAACCACCACAACUACUGUAGCUCCAACCACCACAACUACUGCAGCUCCAACCACCACAACUACUGUAGCUCCAACCACCACAACUACUGCAGCUCUAACCACAACAACUACUGCAGCUCCAACCACCACAACUACUGCAGCUCAAACCACAACAACUACAGCAGCUACAACCAGCACAACUACUGCAGCUACAACUACAACCACUGCACCCUCAACCACCACAACUACUGCAGCUCCAACCACCACAACUACUGUAGCUCCAACCACCACAACUACUGCAGCUCCAACAACAACAACUACUGCAGCUCCAUUCACCACAACUACUGCAGCUCUAACCACAACAACUACUGCAGCUCCAACCACCACAACUACUGCAGCUCCAACCACCACAACUACUGCAGCUCUAACCACAACAACUACUGCAGCUCCAACCACCACAAUUACUGCAGCUCCAACCACAACAACUACUGCAGCUCCAACCACAACAAUUACUGCAGCUCCAACCACAACAACUACUGCAGCUCCAACCACCACAAUUACUGCAGCUCCAACCACAACAACUACUGCAGCUCCAACCACAACAAUUACUGCAGCUCCAACCACCACAACUACUGCAGCGCCAACCACCACAAUUACUGCAGCUCAAACCACAACAACUACUGCAGCUCCAACCACCACAAUUACUGCAGCUCCAACCACAACAACUACUGCAGCUCCAACCACAACAAUUACUGCAGCUCCAACCACAACAACUACUGCAGCUCCAACCACCACAAUUACUGCAGCUCCAACCACAACAACUACUGCAGCUCCAACCACAACAAUUACUGCAGCUCCAACCACCACAACAACUGCAGCGCCAACCACCACAAUUACUGCAGCUCAAACCACAACAACUACUGCAGCUCCAACCACCACAACUACUGCAGCUCCAACUACCACAACUACUGCAGCGCCAACCACCACAACUACAGCGGCGCCAACCACCACAACUACUGCAGCGCCAACCACCACAACUACUGUGGCUCCAACCACAACAACUACUGGGGCUCCUACCACAACAACUACUGCAGCUCCUACCACAACUACUGCAGCUCCAACAACCACAACUACUGCAGCUCCAACCACCACAACUACUGCAGCUACAACCACCACAACUACUGCAGCUACAACUACAACUACUGCACCCUCAACCACCACAACUACUGCAGCUCCAACUACCACAACUACUGCAGCUCCAACUACAACUACUGCACCCCCAACCACCACAACUACUGCAGCCCCAACCACCACAACUACUGCAGCCCCAACCACCACAACUACUGCAGCUCCAACCACCACAACUACUGCAGCUCCAACCACCACAACUACUGUAGCUCCAACCACCACAACUACUGCAGCUCCAACCACCACAACUACUGCAGCUCCAACCACCACAACUACUGCGGCUCCAAACACUACAACUACUGCAGCUACAACCACCACAACUACUGCAGCUCCAACCACCACAACUACUGCAGCUCUAACCACCACAACCACUGCAGCUCCAACCACCACUACUACUGCAGCCCCAACCACUACAACUACUGUAGCUCCAACCACCACAACUACUGCAGCUACAACCACCACAACUACUGCAGCUUCAACUACAACUACUGCACCCCCAACCACCACAACUACUGCACCUCCAACUACCACAACUACUGCAGCUACAACUACAACUACUGCACCCCCAACCACCACAACUACUGCACCUCCAACUACUACAACUACUGCAGCUACAACUACAACUACUGCACCCCCGAUCACCACAACGACACCUAUCACCCUGACCACCAUGACUACAACCACACCAGUAAUCACCCCAAACCAAGGUUUGGAGGCAGUGGCAAUUCUUCAGGUGAAGUUAACUUCAAUCGGUGUUAUCAGCAAUGGAACCAUUACUCAUCUUGUUGAACAGGUAUGGCUCUCCCGCCAAUAUUAUGAAUGAUAAUCUGUAUUAAUUUAGAGAGUGCAGUGAGGGGAAUGAGAUAAAUCUUGUGUUGUUUAUUGUCUGUUUUCUUUUGUUUCAGUUUGUGAGGGGGCAGCUCUUGAAUGGAACCAACCACACCACAGUCAGUGUGACAAACAUUCAAAGGGUUAGAGUCGUCCCAUAGAAGCGUCAUGCAACUGCAAGUAAAAUUGAAUGUAUGAAGAAAGCAAUUCAAGGGGGUGCUGACUGUAUUAAUAAAAUGUCAUCUUCAUCUCAACUACACUGCAGAGGCUAAGAUUUUAGACUGUCUCCCCUGUGCAUCUUUAUCAUCAUUUUGUUCUAUUAAAUCUCAAAAACAAAACAAAGAGAGAGUCAGAAAAAGUCAACAUUAAGAUCCAUUUUCGCUCUCUAUAGUCCCCAAACAAUAUUUUCAUCAUUACACUGCUGGCUGUGUUUCCCAUGUGAAUGGAAAUGCCAUUUAUCUCAAGUGUUCAGUAGCGAAGAAAGGCUCAAACCAAGCAAUCUGAUGCAUCAAAGAGGUUUCUUAAGAAGUGUCAGUAAUCCAAAUACUUUGUAACUGGAGCUGCUUCACUGAGAAGCUUGGCAACCAGGAAACUACCAUGCUGUUGUGUAAUAGUUGCAAGACAGUUUACUGAUUUGGCAACGAUGACUUUGCCUCAUACCAUUUGCAUAGGGUAUAUAUAUAUGUAAUCCGGGAAGUGAAUUAAGUAUUUUUUCCUAUACGUUACAGCUGUGUCUCCUGGAUGUGUCUCCAUUCAAUCCUCUUGAGACUCAUGAUUGUCCAUGGUUAAGUUUGGUUUUGCUCUCUGUUUCAGUGUGGUCAAACCUGCUUUUCCUGGUCAUGAGCUAACUAGUGGAAAGUACUGAAAUGUAUAUAGAUUGUGACAUAUUAAAGCAGGAUAAACGUUUGUUGAUCCUGAACUUGGACCAGUAUGGCUAUUAUGUUACUGCAAGGGAAUGCAGCAAUACUAAGUGAGAAAAAAAAAGGCAAUGCAGCAAUGAUUUUUUAAAUUAUUUAUUUGUAUACCUGCUGAUUGAUGUUUUUUCUUCUAUCACUGAUUAGAAAAUUGUUUUCAAAUGGUUAUUUUUGCAUAAAAUUUUUUUUUGUUGUUUUUUAGAUGUUUAGAUUUCAUUAUUUUUGAAAAUGAUUAUUAGGUGAAAUUCUGUCUGUAUCUCCAAUCGGACUUUUCCCUUAAAAGGCACAAUAUGCAAGAACUGGCCACUUGUUGAAUUUAUAUUCUAAAAAAAUAUGCAUAUUUCCUGAGUAACUGCUAACUGAUGUUGCCAUUUGCUUGUUAGCUUCAAGCCCCAAGAAGGAGCGCUGGACUCUGAAGUCAGUUUUCAUAGUGGCCAAACCGUGUAAUUACAUGGUCACGUGAUGCGCUAUUUUAUCCUCAUUCAAGUUUGCUGGGUGUCAAGGUGGACUCUUGAUGCUAAAGAAAACACAGACACCAAUAAUGAUUCCAAUGUCAUUAAUAUAUUGGCUGAUAAACUUGGAGUUUAUCACAGCUGGAACCACCUGUCAGAAUGAAACAAUCAUUUUGGACCGACAAACAUUUUAAAAUUAUUAAUUUACAAUCAUGUUUUAAGGAAAAGAGAAUUUUAUUUUGCACCUUUCUACAAGCUCUGUAGAUGUAUUACUUUUAAGAAAAUGAUUUGUCUACAUAAAAUUUUUUAUCAAUUUAAGACUAGAUGUAUGACAUAAUAUGCACAGUUGCAUUGUUCCAUGUUGUAUUAUGCCCUUCUGAAGGAUGAAUAAAGAGACGUGUAUUUGAGGUGCCAUUCUUGUCUUGUUUAAUAGAUCCUCUGAAAAUAAACUUUAUUCAACAUUUGAUUUGAGAGCAUAUAUUAUAUAUUAUUUGUUGAGAUCCACCUUACAAGAUUAUGUUAAAAAGACAAAACACGAUAAUAUCAAGUGAAAAUUUGCCAUCAGUUGUGUUCAAUUUUUCUUCAAUAUUUGAAAUUAUAAACAUCAGCAGAGACACGAUGCAAGACAUUCUGUGAGACGUUAAAAAGAUGCAGUCUGUAAAUGUUGAAGGUUCAUGACUUUGGAACCUGCGUCAAUGGUGUUUUGGAAUAACUGUUAAAAGGAUAAGAUAAAACAUGGACGACAGUGUUAAGAAUUCAUGAGGGUUGCCUGAAAGUACAGUCGUCACUACCAUUCUUAUUUUACAAAGGCUAAAACUCUCUUCUCUUUCUUCUGCUCUUCUUAAAGACAUUAUUGUUCCCGUGGCAUUUCUAGAUUUACACUGAUAUUUCACACCUGACGGAGAACAAAGCUUCAAACAAUAAAACAGCAGAGUUUAGGCUUUAACUGAACCGACAAACAGGAGCGCUUCCGGUUUAUAAACCUGUCCUCGCUGGUGGGCGGCUGUCCUCGCCAUCUCCUUCUGUCUGAAAACGUGAAGGAUGGUGCGUGGCUUAGUUCAGCAACAUUAACAUCCUAAGUUUCAAGUCACUCGUGCAGCUGUCCUCCCAGCUGAUCAUCUUUGUCCGUGCAGCUCUCUGUCCUGGCCUCCGGACAGAACUCCUUCCUUUAAAAAGAAUCAACACAUUCAGGAAAAUCAGUUAAACGGUUUAUCAUUUAAAAAAAUGUUUUGUCGUAGGAAGAGCUCACGCUUCUUACCUGUUCACCUCAGGUGUCUUGCUUGUUGAUCUCGCAGAUUCUGCCUGCUGAGAGAAGAGUGUUUUAACUUUUGUGGAAGAAAUAUUUAAAAGAUAAAAGAUCCCAUCCAUACAUGUUUUUAGGCAUACUAAAGGUUUCUAAUGUGUGUCUGAAAAUAAUAAUAAUAAAAUAUAUAUAAAUAUACAAAAUGUUAAUUGUAUAUCAUGGCAGAUGAUUUUAAAUUUUUAAUCAAAUCUUAAAAUUUGUGAUUUUCACACUGCUGCUUUGGCACAUACCAUCUGAAAUAGCAUGUACAGCAAGAAUCACACUCUUCAAAUGUGGUACAGAGAUGGAUUCCAUUGCGAACUCAAGUGGAUUAAAUAUGAAAAUGGUCAAGUCACAUUGUUGGAGUAAAUACGGAGCAGCUGUGGUUUACCUGUGGGUAGUCCUGGUGGCUGAGGAUAUACAGAGCACCAUGUCCGGAGAUCCUGACCACCUGCUCUCCAGUCCAGCCUCCUGCAGGGGUGUCUGGGACGUACAACACCGUGGAACCGUGCAAACACUUCAAGCCAGAAACCAUAAGAUAUAAAUGAACAAAAGAAAAUGUAGAGGAAUCUGAGGGAAACUUUAUUAUAGAUAAACUUAAUCCUAAAUUCAACAUAAAUUUGAGGACCAGCUCUUAAUUCUUAGAACACAACAGAACAGGAACAAGUAAAUUAUCUAUAUGCUCAAGUCAAACUAUCUGAACACACACUGACCUGUAGAUAUGUGAAGGAGAACCUUUGGCCCGCCCGUUUCACAAAACGCCCCCAGAAGAGCAAAGCCAGCCGACUCUGUACCUGAUUGGCCGUCCAACCGCAGUCAAUGGUGAUGCGAGCGGUCAUCCCCAUGGCCGCUAGAGCUGCUUGUUCUUUGCCCUGUGGAACAGUGUGCCUGGAAUAACGGAAAGGAAUGUUUACUUUAUCGAGAUAUUUUUAUUGGAUAGUCUAAAAUCUGUAAACAUCAGCCAUGUAUGAAUACGUCAUCUGUCACCAGAGGACAUGGUCUCAAAUUACCAUGUGAAAACACACUGCGAAACUCAUUACUUCAGAGAGAUAACACAAGCUUGCUCUCACCGCAGGAGAGAUGGCCCUCCAAACUGUACACUAGAAUACG